rnacentral:lncRNA from 1 species
GGGCGUGGGACGUGUUCUGACUGCCGAAGAGGAAGGUGUCCUGUCCUGUCACUCCUGUGCUGAGGCAAGAUGACAUCUUAACAAGCCACAUCAAGGAGCUGAGGAGGCAAGCAACUCAGUGGUGGAGGCCAUGGCUUUACUCCAAGAAAAAUUUUCUGGCCAUCAAAAACAUCAGCCACAAAAUAAUGACUGGAACUGCCAAGUUUGUAUUAAUGGGCUUCUCCAAGUUAAUGGGCUUCUCUCCAGAAAUGAUUUGAGAUCAUCCAGGUACGCCCGGCUGUUAGUGGACAUCUCCAUGGCGCUCUAGUUAAUGGUGCAUCUACGGCGAGAGCAUCGAUGACCUCAAAGACCACGCUUCUUGGAUGCCGAAAAUCGCGCCUCUUGGAUGAUGAAGACCGCGCCUUUUGGAUACCGAGAACGGUGCCUCUUGGAUGCCGAGGCCCGCGCCUCUUGGAUGCCGAGGCCCGCGCCUCUUGGAUGCCGAGGUCCGCGCCUCUUGGAUGCCGAGGACCGCGCCUCU